rnacentral:sRNA from 1 species
AGGACUGUUCCCGUGGGGGGCGUGGUGAAGAGCGUGGCCUGGAACCCCAGCCCCGCUGUCUGCCUGGUGGCUGCGGCCGUGUAAGUGGAGGCCCUGGGGACUGGGGAGCCAGGGGUGGCACUGUGCUUAGGGGCUGUGUCUGGGCCUGGCUCACAGGGAGGACUCGGUGCUGCUGCUGAACCCAGCUCUGGGGGACCGGCUGGUGGCGGGCAGCACAGAUCAGCUGUUGAGCGCCUUCGUCCCGCCUGAGGAGCCCCCCUUGCAGCCGGCCCGCUGGCUGGAGGCCUCAGAGGAGGAGCGCCAAGCAGGCCUGCGGCUGCGCAUCUGCCACGGGAAGGUACGUGGGGCGCCUUGGGGGUGAGUGAGGCUGCAGUGGGAGGGGCCCGGCUCAGCCACUCAGCCAGCCUUACUCUCCUGCAGCCAGUGACGCAGGUGACCUGGCACGGGCGUGGGGACUACCUGGCCGUGGUGCUGGCCACCCAAGGCCACACCCAGGUGCUGAUUCACCAGCUGAGCCGUCGCCGCAGCCAGAGUCCGUUCCGCCGCAGCCACGGACAGGUGCAGCGAGUGGCCUUCCACCCUGCCCGGCCCUUCCUGUUGGUGGCGUCCCAGCGCAGCGUCCGCCUCUACCACCUGCUGCGCCAGGAGCUCACCAAGAAGCUGAUGCCCAACUGCAAGUGGGUGUCCAGCCUGGCGGUGCACCCUGCAGGUGAGGGGUGGGGGUAGGGGCAGUGCACCCUGCAGGUGAGGGGUGUAGGUGACGGGCGGGGCAGUGCACCCUGCAGGUGAGAGCGGGAACACCUGCAUCACAGCCUUUGGCCCUAGGUGACAACGUCAUCUGUGGGAGCUACGAUAGCAAGCUGGUGUGGUUUGACCUGGAUC